rnacentral:rRNA from 1 species
GACGAACGCUGGCGGCGUGCCUAAUACAUGCAAGUAGAACGCUGAAGGAGGAGCUUGCUUCUCUGGAUGAGUUGCGAACGGGUGAGUAACGCGUAGGUAACCUGCCUGGUAGCGGGGGAUAACUAUUGGAAACGAUAGCUAAUACCGCAUAAUAGCAGUUGUUGCAUGACAACUGUUUGAAAGGUGCAAUUGCACCACUACCAGAUGGACCUGCGUUGUAUUAGCUAGUUGGUGGGGUAACGGCUCACGAAGGCGACGAUACAUAGCCGACCGGAGAGGGGGGGUGGCCAGACUGGGACUGUGACACGGCCCAGACGCCUACGGGAGGCAGCAGUAGGGAAUCGUCGGGAAUGGGCGGAAAUCUUACCGAGCAACGCCGCGGGAGGGAAGAAGGUUGUCGGAUCGGAAAGCUCUGUUGUAAGGGAAGAACGAGUGUGAGAGUGGAAAGUUCACACUGUGACGGUAACUUACCAGAAAGCGACGGCUAACUACGUG